GUCAUAGCUUUAACUUGGUCAGUCUAUGUCAUGGGAAAGAGCAGGUGUCCUCAAUGUUUUGUAUUAUCAGUGUGUGUAGUAACCUGGUACAGUAUAAAGUAUACCACUAGAGGGGAUUAUUGCUUCAGUCUUGAAUGUUACUUCUCACUAUCCCUACAUUAAAAGUCUGCCAUUGUAGACUCCGGUAACUUCGGUAUCUUAGUUUUUUAUAUUUGCCAUUAAUGUCUGAACCAUUUCCCGUCUUUCCCACUGAAACCAGUAAUGUGAGCGUUCAUGUGAGAGAGGGUAGUAGUGCAUACUGACCACUAGUUGGAUCAUAGUGUGGGUGGUGGAGUUUAUGCAGGAACACAGAGGGUAGAGGCAUUCUCCAUCACAGUAGAAGGCAGAGUAACCCGUAGGAGCCAAUACCCAGUCCUAAUGGAGAGAAAUACCAUAGAAAUCGAAUGACAAGAUUAGAUGAAUGACUAGAACAGACUCUUUCUAUGAGAAAUACAUGAUAAAGAAUGCAAAGAACAUUCUCUACAAUGCACAUCCUACACAAAUGCCUUGCUUCCCUAAAAUACGAACUGUCUGUUACAGCAAAUAAGGUGGUACAAUGUUAGCUCAUGAUUAUCUAUUCAGUACAAUGAGCAGUUAAGAGAGACAGAAUCUCACCUUCUAGCCUUGUUCACUGAAUCUCACAGAUAAUUCAUGUCUCUUACAAGCCUGACGCCCACUGUUGACAUGGCUGUGAUCUGAAAGGGACCAAAAAAUAUGUUAUGAACCAGGAAAGACUAAUGUACACUUUGGAUGCAUUGGAUUUCAAAUGAAAUGUAAACGUAACUUAAGUCAUUUUGUAAUUUGGAUGUUUUAUCCCUUUAAACUGUGUAUAAAACAAGUUUAACUACAAGAUGAAAAACCAGUGUUGUCCCCUGACCUUGUAUGUAUACUGGGCAAGGGCAGAUCGUAUUUGGGCUUCUUCUUAUGGGGUUUGGGUUUCAGGGCGACAGGGGGACUGGUUGGCCCUGAAGAAGUUGGUUAGAUGAGUACUUGAAGGCUUAUAUCUAUAUUUUGGAAUAUUGGAUUUUAAUUUCGGGAGGCUUUCAUCAUGGAAAAGGGACCAGACCAUUUUUUUUGUUAGUUAACCUAAACGAAUCACGACCCUCUAUAGAAUAACAACAGUGACAACAGUUGACUGCUAUUUAAGUAAUCAUUUGACUGUCAAAUCCAUGUAUUGGUGUGUGGCCAUUGACUUUUAUGGAGAGGCCGCCCCACAUUUUCUGUGCCAUUUCCUGGGCAUUUCAUUAACUCCGUGUUCUAAGUUCUGCGCAUCCCAGCGCUUGGAAAAAUCAAUGGUACAAGACCUAAGAUAUUGAUCUUUUAGGAGGUGCAUAAUGGGCUGCAGGGAAGUCAGGCGUAGGAGAGCAGAACUGGGUUAUAACCGGAGCAGUUUAAUGAGGAGAAAACCAACAGCACCCAGAACAACAAAAUAUGGGUUGAAAUAACCCAUCGCAAACCAGUCUGAAGUGCACAUACACUUUACAACAAACAAUUCCACACACAGACAUGGGGGGAACAGAGGGUUAUAUACACGUCAAGCAAUGAGGAAAUGUAAACCAGGUGUGUGGGAAAACAAGACAAAACAAAUGGAAAAUGAAAGGUGGAUCGGCGAUGGCUAAUAUACAAUUUACUAUGGCAAAGAAAUUCAACAUGUCAAUUUAAGAUGAUUGUAUUUGUUGCCUACUCACAAAGUAUUACCAAAAGUACAGUGUAGGAUCGGAGGUACUGGGGGAUGGAAUGGACGGACCCCGAUCCGGACGUCCGCAGGUGGCCAACAGGUUAUCCAGCUGGUCGAGGGUAAGGGUGGUGUCCCUGCAGGCCAGCUCCCGACGAAUGUCCCCACAUAGACUACACCGGUAAUGGUCGAUCAGGGCCCUCUCAUUCCAUCCCACGCUGGCAGCCAGGGUCCUGAAGUCCAGGUGACGGAGGGGUGGACAGUGGUGUGGGUUGUGGUGUUGGUUGGGGUGAAGUUGAUGGAGGUGUGGGAAAACCCCCUCUCUCCCAUCGUUCCAUGGUGAGCAGCACGCGAUCCAUGGCUGUGCCAAGAUGUUGGAGCAUAGUCGCGUGUUGCUGGACGCGUUCCUCUACUGGUACAGGAGGACUGGGUGCACCUGCUGAUUCCAUAUUUUUGGUGCGUGAUUCUGUCAAGUGUCAGUGUGCAGAGGUGAGCACGGAGUCAGGCGCAGGACACAGAACUGAGUAAAAUAACGUAGUUUACUCGAAAAAUAAACAAUCAUAAAUUCCACGCAGGGAAAAACACACAAUGACACAGAAGACUAACACUCAACAAGGAACAAUCACGCACAAAACAUCAUGGGAACCAGAGGGUUAAAUAGGGAAAUAAUUAUAACGUAAUGGGAACCAGGUGUGUACAAUCAAGACAAAACAAAUGGAAAAAGAAACGUAGAUCGGUGGUAGCUAGAAAGCCGGUGACAACGACCGCCGAACGCCGCCGGAACAAGGAGAGGCACCAACUUCGGCGGAAGUCGUGACACAACUAAACACCCUGGAUUCUUUACACAAACAUUGAAAGGCAACAAUCGCAAAUUUGGACUCAUCAAACCAAAGUACAGAUUUCCACCAGUCUAAGGUCCAUUGCUCGUGUUUCUUGGCCCAAGCAAGUCUCUUCUUAUUUUUGGUGUCCGUCCUUUAGUUGUGGUUUCAAUGGAGCAAUUCGACUAUGAAGGCCUGAUUCACACAUUCUCCUCUGAACAGUGCAUGUUGAGUUGUGUGUUUCUUGAACUCUGUGAAGCAUUUAUUUGGGCUCCAAUCUGAGGUGCAGUUAACUCUACUAAACGUAUCCUCUGCAGCAGAGGUUACUCUGGGGUCUUCCUCAUGAGAGCCAGAUUCAUCAUAACGCUUCAUGGUUUUUGCGACUGCACUAGAAGAAUCUUUCAAAGUUCUUGAAAUGUUCCUUAUUGACUGACCUUCAUGUCUUAAGUAACGAUGGACUGUUGUUUCUCUUUGCUUAUUUGAGACUUGGUCUUUUACCAAAUAGGGAUAUCUUCUGUAAACCAUCCCUUCCUUGUCUCAACACAACCUAUUGGCUCAAACGCUUUAAGAAGGAAAGAAAUUCCACAAAUGAACUUUUAAGAAGGUACACCUGUUAAUUGAAAUGCAUUCCAGGUGACUAGCUCAUGAACAGGUUUGAGAGAAUGCCAAGAGUGUGCAAAGUGGUCAAGGAGAAGGAUGGCUACUUUUUUGCUUACUACAUGAUUCCAAUUGUGCUAUUUCAUAGUUUUGAUGUCUUCACUAUUAUUCUAAAAUGUAAAAAAUGGUAAAAAUAAAGAAAAAACAUUAAAUGAGUAGGUGUGUCCAGACUUUUCUGAUUUAAACAAAGCAAUCUGAUCAUACUCCAGUAAAAUACACGCUACAGGGAAUGCAAAAAAAAUGGCUUCUGCAAAGCACAUAUACAUUGUCCAAUCAACAUCCACACAUUGAUUUCAUUCUUCGGGUCUUUAUUCAAACACAAACACAUUUGGAAUAAAAUGCUCUUUCAGUGUUUUGUUGCAGGUUGUGCAAUGUUCAAAAGUGUGUGAGAAAUUAGCAUCAAUGUGUGUGUUUGUGUGUGGGGUCAAGUUUGGACGGUCGUACAUAUGCAAAUAGCCUUGUUUGUAUAUUUCAGGACCAUGGACAGCAGCGACAUAGCGAUAUCUGUCAUCCAGCACUACAUGACAGUAGACAGCGGCCAUCUCAUGUGAAGUUGGCACUGGGGAAAUCCCAAGUAAUGAGAAACGAGGCCAAGGAGGAAAAAAGACUGAAGGAGAAGACUCCCACAGCAACUCUAUGCUAAACUGUUCUGUCACAUUCAUGUCAAAUGUUACAUCUUUAGAUUUGUAAAUAAUAGGGAAUACAUCUGCAAAUAAUUGAAACUGACUACUCAAACUACACUGUACAGCUUU
ensembl:lncRNA